AGGCAGCAGUGGGGAAUUUUGGACAAUGGGGGAAACCCUGAUCCAGCCAUACCGCGUGAGUGAAGAAGGCCUUCGGGUUGUAAAGCUCUUUCAGACGGAAAGAAACGGUCACGGCUAAUACCCGUGGCUAAUGACGGUACCGUAAGAAGAAGCACCGGCUAACUACGUGCCAGCAGCCGCGGUAAUACGUAGGGUGCGAGCGUUAAUCGGAAUUACUGGGCGUAAAGCGUGCGCAGGCGGUUUUUUAAGCCAGAUGUGAAAUCCCCGGGCUUAACCUGGGAACUGCAUUUGGAACUGGAAGACUAGAGUACGGCAGAGGGGGGUAGAAUUCCACGUGUAGCAGUGAAAUGCGUAGAUAUGUGGAGGAAUACCGAUGGCGAAGGCAGCCCCCUGGGUCGAUACUGACGCUCAUGCACGAAAGCGUGGGGAGCAAACAGGAUUAGAUACCCUGGUAG
rnacentral:rRNA from 1 species